UAAGGAAUAUUGGUCAAUGGACGCAAGUCUGAACCAGCCAUGCCGCGUGAAGGAUGAAGGUCCUCUGGAUUGUAAACUUCUUUUAUCUGGGACGAAAACGGGAUUUUUAUCUCAAUUGACGGUACCAGAGGAAUAAGCACCGGCUAACUCCGUGCCAGCAGCCGCGGUAAUACGGAGGGUGCGAGCGUUAUCCGGAUUUACUGGGUUUAAAGGGUGCGUAGGUGGGCUUAUAAGUCAGUGGUGAAAUCUCCGAGCUUAACUUGGAAACUGCCCUUGAUACUAUAGGUCUUGAAUUAUCUGGAGGUAAGCGGAAUAUGUCAUGUAGCGGUGAAAUGCUUAGAUAUGACAUAGAACACCAAUUGCGAAGGCAGCUUACUACAUAUAAAUUGACGCUGAGGCACGAAAGCGUGGGGAUCAAAC
rnacentral:rRNA from 1 species